UCCCAGUUCGGACUGCAGGCUGCAACCCGCCUGCACGAAGCCGGAGUUGCUAGUAAUCGCGAAUCAGAAUGUCGCGGUGAAUGCGUUCCCGGGUCUUGUACACACCGCCCGUCACACCAUGGAAGUUGGGGGUGCCCAAAGCCGGCAAGCAAAAUAUGCUGUCUAAGGCAAAACCAAUGACUGGGGUGAAGUCGUAACAAGGUAGC
rnacentral:rRNA from 1 species